ACCGAAAUUAGUCAAAAUGGAUUUAUUGCGCUUUGGAACCAUUUGUUCUUCAUUUGUUUUGACCACAAUCCACGCACUAGAACUAAAUGUGGAUUUGGGGCACGUGCACCCAUGAUCUGUAUCUCUUGUCAAUCACCACAUCCUCCUGUCGACCCUCAAUGCUAUGGGUGUCUUUGGAAGAGCGUCCCUAUGGUUCAAGUCUUACCUCUCAGGCAGGUCAUUUAUCCUGGAGAUGUUUUUAAUCAUGUUUUGUGCUUUCUCCCACAAUAUUGCUUUCUACCGGCCAGCUAUUGAACGGAAGUAUUCGAAAAUAAUGUGGAUACUAUACACAUUUGAUUUAAAUGUUAGGGGUUCGACCAACCAACAGUCAUAUUUACAAUUGAUUCGUUUUCAUCUGCUAUCUGUGGUAUGCCAGUGACAGAAAUGAAAAUACAAAUCCAUUAGCAAGCGUCUUCAUGCUUUCCGUGAAGCUCUUUAGAUAAUUUGCUUUGGAUUACAGUUUCCUGAAUCAAUAUUAAGUGUCUAUUUCACACUUUCCUGUAAAAUUUGUGGUUUGUAUAAUAGCACCCAAAUGGGAUCAAUGGAGGCUAAAGUGAGUGACGUCACACAAAUGCUGUUAUAUUAACCCAGAUCAGAGUAAAUACAGACUAAAACGUUUACUCCGUGUGUGUCUGUCUGAAGACUCUGAAGUUUCAUGAUUUGAAGUUGUUUUUAUUAAAUACUUUCUCUAGGUCACUCAUGGGGUUGAAAACUAUCUUCCUUUUAAUGAUAGUUGUGCAUACAUGCACUGGAGAGAGCGGAAGCGGUUAUCCUCCGUAUCAGGAUGGGCUAGUUAAACACAAUGGAAACUUUGGUGGAAGAUGGACUGAUGAGCAGACAGUUUUUAAUUUUUCUCUGGACCAAGCCCCGUUCCAACCUCCAAAUUACAAAAGUAACUUUACUAAACAUAGUUGUAAUAAACACACUCAAUGGCCAAACAAGUUCAUAUGACUAAUACAAUAUAUUCUAUAUUAUUGUGUAUAAGUUAUUCAAUGUCUUUGUGUGUGUUGAAAUGUUAUUGU